rfam:Chlorocebus sabaeus isolate 1994-021 chromosome 6, whole genome shotgun sequence.
GCCGGGCGUGGUGGCUCAAGCCUGUAAUCCCAGCUACUUGGGAGGCUGAGGCAGGAGAAUCACUUGAAUCCAGGAGGCAGAGGUUGCAGUGAGCUGAGGCUGUGCCUUUGCACUCCAGCCUAGGCAAAAAGAGCAAAACUCUGUCUCAGAAAAAAAAAAAAAAAAAUAAUAAUUUAAAUAUCUUUAUAAAUAUUUUUUUUUUUUUUUUUUUUCUGAGACAGAGUUUUGCUCUUUUUGCCUAGGCUGGAGUGCAAAGGCACAGCCUCAGCUCACUGCAACCUCUGCCUCCUGGAUUCAAGUGAUUCUCCUGCCUCAG